UUGCACGCUGGCGGCAUGCUUUACACCUGCAAGUCGAACGGCAGCGCGGGCUUCGGCCUGGCGGCGAGUGGCGAACGGGUGAGUAAUGCAUCGGAACGUGCCCAGUAGUGGGGGAUAGCCCGGCGAAAGCCGGAUUAAUACCGCAUACGACCUGAGGGUGAAAGCGGGGGACCGAAAGGCCUCGCGCUAUUGGAGCGGCCGAUGUCGGAUUAGCUAGUUGGUGGGGUAAAGGCUUACCAAGGCGACGAUCCGUAGCUGGUCUGAGAGGACGACCAGCCACACUGGGACUGAGACACGGCCCAGACUCCUACGGGAGGCAGCAGUGGGGAAUUUUGGACAAUGGGGGCAACCCUGAUCCAGCCAUGCCGCGUGCGGGAAGAAGGCCUUCGGGUUGUAAACCGCUUUUGUUCGGGAAGAAAUCCUCUGGGCUAAUACCCCGGGGGGAUGACGGUACCGGAAGAAUAAGCACCGGCUAACUACGUG
rnacentral:rRNA from 1 species